AGCCUCGUAGCUCAGUUGGCUAGAGCAUUUGGCUGUACUAAAGCCUUCCCCUGCUGGCGUGGGUUCUAAUCCCACCGAGGCCA
rnacentral:tRNA from 1 species